UGUGUGUGUGUGUGUGUGUGUACACACACACACACACACAUAUAUAUAUAUAUACACACACACACACACACACACA